ACUAAGUUGCUUAGAACUUUCACAAGAAAUUCUUUCUCAUGCUAUUCUUUAACUAGAACACAACAGACUUUAACUGCGUCCUACAGGACUGAACUAUGAUCUGAGCGACGCGUCUGUUUACGUGAAUGUCUCGGGGCGAGAAACACGGUGAAAGGUGUUUGUAUGCUCGUGAACAGGAAAAUAUACCAGCAGGUAGCAGUCACUGAUGCUUACUGCCCUUGUUCUGUUAAUAAUCCAUGGGAGUAGCUCAUUUUGACCCAGUUGUAAAUAAAAGAAGUGCUGCAAUGAACAGUUCUGAAAGCGUUAUACUAUUUGACAGCCUGAGCACUAAUGAGAGGGUGGAAGGGAAGCGGAAAAGAAAAUGAGAUAAAAGACGUGCUGAAUUACCUCCUUUCUUUUACUGCGUAAUAUUAUAAUAGCAAGUGGUAACAAAAUAUGAAAUGUCGUGCAUCUUUGUUUUGUUUAAUAACUUUUUGUGUCUAGUAGCAUGAUUCGGACAAAUACGAUUUUACACGUUUUUAUAAAUGUAGUUUAUAUCUUAUGUAAUUUUGGAGAUAUCGUAGAUAUAUAUUACGUUAAUUAUGCUGAACUUUAUUAAGUGCACAAUUUGUCAAGGCUGUUAUUGGUCGAAAAGUAAAAAGGACAUAUAUAAAAUCACUACUUUGUCCAGAAAGUGUUUAAAAUUUAGAACGAUAUCUUUUUUAUUUGUACUUACUAUUGUUUUGGUAGUGUUGAAGUGUUUUGUUUUCUUUCUAUUUUGCUUAUUUACAUAGGUUUAUUACUUUUUUAUUCUACUAAACAUUUUUUACAAUUACUUGGCAGAAAUAUUUCAUAGUCCUAAAGGUUCUGGACUGAUGUGCAGCUCUGCUAACAUUGCUUAAGAGCACAAUGUAUAUAUGUUAGAAAUCAGAUUAUAUUUGUAUCAGUUAUUUUUCUGUUUAUGUCUUUCUCUAUGAAGUAUUAACGAAAGUUCAAGAGACUGGAGAAAGUGAUUUGUUAUAAUGAAUGCUGGAGUUAUCAACUGUAUUGUUAACAGGCUCCAGAAUAAUCUGAGGCGUUUUGUACGUUGAAUGACUUGGGACUGGGUCAAUUUUAGCAAAAAAUGGGAAUAUAAAAAUAUCUUUUUCUCUCCGUACUUUCAGAAAUGUUAACAACAUGUAUGAGCUGGUCCUACCUCCACCAUGUUUUAUAACCAGAAACGCCGCCCAAGAUUGUAGGUUUGGCAUAGUCAUGACUAUUGAUUGAGCGUUGUUCAAGUCAGUUCAGCCAGUUUUAAUAUCAAUUCUCUAGUUAACUGACGUCAAAGAUUAAAUCUUUUUAAAACAAAAUUAAGCCUGCAAAGGAAUAGCGGCCGAGUGGCUUAUUUCAAUGCUAAGAAAGCAGAAAGGUUUAAAGCCAGUCAACUUUCAGGAACAAAAAAUUUUAAAAACAAAAUAAUUAGCAGAUAUUUAAUCAAAUUUCAGUAUUUUUAUUGCUCCUUUCCAAUUUGUUUGAUUUUCAGUGGAAAUCCACCUUAACGGAAAUGGUUUUUAUAUUCUUAUGUGGUUAAGUUUUUCUGUGAUUGGUUAAUAUGCACGAAAUAUACUACGGAAAGACGAGUGUAAUUUGCACCUAUUUUUCAAUUCCAUACUCCAAAAAGGUUACACUUUAUAAUUUGCUGAAUAUCGAGCAAAAUGACAAUUUGUAGAGAAAUUCAUUCCAAAAUUUUUUACUCAAAUAAAAAAUUAUUUUUAUAAAACAGACAUAAACGUUCGCAGUAAUAAGAAACACAGGUCAAACUUUUUUUUUAUUUUCUUCACUUAAAAUGAAGUAUGAUGUGACAUGACAGACAUGUUUUUAU